rnacentral:misc_RNA from 1 species
UACGGAGGGUGCAAGCGUUGUCCGGAAUUAUUGGGUGUAAAGGGUGCGCAGGCGGAAGCCUAAGUCGGAGGUGAAAUCUUACCGCUUAACGGUAAGAUGGCCUUCGAUACUGGGUUUCUUGAGUCCAGAAGAGGUCGGUGGAAUUCGUGGUGUAGCGGUGAAAUGCAUAGAGAUCACGAAGAACACCGGUGGCGAAGGCGGCCAACUGGUCCGAUACUGACGCUGAGGCACGAAAGCAUGGGGAGCGAACAGG